CAGCUUCGGUGUUCUGCCGAGUUCUGCCGAGAACUGCAUGCACCUCGCGGGAGCGCGCACAGCUAAAGGGAAAACUAACCUACCAGACAUUAGGAAAACUAACUUCUGGGGCUUUGAACAAAGUCCAACACAAAUGUUUGAAAUGAGUGAGCCACCAGAGGGUCUAACAAAGACUCCUGGAACUCUUUCCAGGUCACCACCUUCCCUAUGGCCUGAUCUUUGUACAGUGAAAAGACUUUCCCUGGGCAUACUAAAUGUAUUUCACCACCACUCCAGGGAAGCCAGCGUGAACAUGAGGACCGUUUGGGUCCUACUUCCUACUCCAUCUUCUUCUUUGUGGCAUUCAGUUCCCGCUGAAAGAACUCUGUCUCUUUCAAAGUCCUUGAAGGGUAUUUUUGGGUUUGUCAGACCUUCUGCACCAUAUAUUUUAAAAACCUUAUCGGAGCGGUAGAAGUAUCUGAUGGGACCAUGCUGGUAGAAAAAGUGGAUGGUCAUUGCUCGACUUUUUGUCUGCUGCCUCUCCAUGAUGCUUUUAACAAUUUUUUCAGUGGAGACUCAGGUUAGAGGUGUGGCCAGGGUCUCAGCAGGUGGAGGUGGGUUUACUACUGCAACAGGCAUGGUAACAAUUGGCAUAUUUCUAGUUUCACUCCCCACUGUCAGAGAGUGCCAGAGUGGCUGCCUCACUUGGAGCUUUUCUGGGCUCGUGUUUAAAGAGGAGCUGGCAUUCAUCGGCUUGACCAGGUGCUUUACAUAUUGUGCAAUGUGUAAUUUGGUGGUUGGGUUUAGCAUGUUUGGGUCUCUACAGGAGCUGUGAAUGAGAGCAGCAUUGGUUGUCAACGGCUUUCUUCAUUGGGACUGGCCAACACUUGUGGUCUAACCCAAAGACCCUCCCACCAGCCUUCACAGGUCCAGUGUGAGCGGUAGUUGGUGAGGACAAAAUUAUUCCUCCUCUCUCCAUAAUAACCAUAAAUCCCUUCCCAACAUUAUCCAACUGCAAAAAACAUUGGGGACAAAUCCACAGUAAAAAUGUAUGUCUGGACUGUCUGCAGCACUGGCUGUUUUAAGGUCCCUAACGAGGACCGCAGUCCAGUUUAGUGUGUUCAACAUGUUCAAAUUCUAUAUUUAAUGUUCUGUGUUGUACUAGAGCUCAGGUGAUGUUUCUCUGCACCCGGAGGGGGCUUCCAUGGCACCGGCUGCAGAUGUAAGACUUCUGAAAGAUUUUGGACUUUGGGUAACACUUGUUCUAUACUAAAUUAUGUAUGUUGUUGAGCUUAUUGAUUUCCCCUCACUAAAAAAAUCCCACAUUUGUGAAGCUCCAGAUGAGCAUACAUGAUGCAUUCUGAGUUUUACACUUUGGUCUGUUUGGUUUGGUCUCAAACAGUAAUUUUCAUCAGAUUUCCCAUUUACGUGUCUUUUUUUUUUUUAAACCUGUUUGAUGCUCAGUGUUCUGUGUUUGAUGGUCACUUUUGA